GUCCCUAGUUCGGAUUGUAGGCUGAAACUCGCCUACAUGAAGCUGGAAUUGCUAGUAAUCACAGGUCAGCAUACUGUGGUGAAUACGUUCCCGGGCCUUGUACACACCGCCCGUCACACCAUGAGAGUUGAGAAUACCCGAAGUCCAUGCUAAAGUGGCCGAAGGUAGGCUUGAUGAUUGGGGUGAAGUCGUAACAAGGUAUC
rnacentral:rRNA from 1 species